GAUUUCUGACGAACCGGAGUGGCCCGUUUCCUUUCAGGGAAUGAGUGCCGCUUUGAGUUUGUCAUCCUUCCAGAGAGCUGCGUCUACCGUUUAUUCGGCCGGACGUAUGCGAUCUGGAUCUAUUACUUUGAAAAAAUUAGAGUGUUUAAAGCAGGCCUACGCUGUGAAUACAUUAGCAUGGAAUAAUAAUUUAGGACUUCGGUUCUAUUUUGUUGGUUUCUAGGACUGAAGUAAUGAUUGAUAGGGAUAGUUGGGGGUGCUAGUAUUCAGCGGCCAGAGGUGAAAUUCUCGGAUUCGCUGAAGACUAACUUAUGCGAAAGCAUU
rnacentral:rRNA from 1 species